rnacentral:rRNA from 1 species
CACGUGGGCAACCUGCCUGUAAGACUGGGAUAACUUCGGGAAACCGAAGCUAAUACCGGAUAGGAUCUUCUCCUUCAUGGGAGAUGAUUGAAAGAUGGUUUCGGCUAUCACUUACAGAUGGGCCCGCGGUGCAUUAGCUAGUUGGUGAGGUAACGGCUCACCAAGGCAACGAUGCAUAGCCGACCUGAGAGGGUGAUCGGCCACACUGGGACUGAGACACGGCCCAGACUCCUACGGGAGGCAGCAGUAGGGAAUCUUCCGCAAUGGACGAAAGUCUGACGGAGCAACGCCGCGUGAGUGAUGAAGGCUUUCGGGUCGUAAAACUCUGUUGUUAGGGAAGAACAAGUACGAGAGUAACUGCUCGUACCUUGACGGUACCUAACCAGAAAGCCACGGCUAACUACGUGCCAGCAGCCGCGGUAAUACGUAGGUGGCAAGCGUUAUCCGGAAUUAUUGGGCGUAAAGCGCGCGCAGGCGGUUUCUUAAGUCUGAUGUGAAAGCCCACGGCUCAACCGUGGAGGGUCAUUGGAAACUGGGGAACUUGAGUGCAG